CUGCGUUUGACAGUUCUGCAUCCUGCAUCGUUUUAGCUCAGUGUUCUCCAUCACUUAUCGAUUUUCCCCAGUCCUGUUUAUAUCGCUACCAUAUGUUCCAUUGAAAGUUCCGUGAACAGCCCACUUUGCAAGGCCAGAGAUUCCCUGAUCCGUUUGAUGAUCAAAUUCUAGAACAAUGAAAAAAUAUGGCCCGAAAUUUCUUUCAGUGAUAUGCUAUGGAGCAAGUGCUUAUAAAGUCUAGCAGAAAACUGAAGCCUACUGAACUGCUCUUCCUUGGUUCAUGGGUUGUUACUAAAAAGCAUAAGUUGCAAAGUAAAAACAGAGGCAACAAACUGUAAGAAGAAUCAGUUAGCUGUGACAUGCCAAGGAAAGGCUGGUUAAACAAAAUAGCAAGAAAGCUAGACUUAAUAAAUUAUAUGCUAUUAUAA